rnacentral:ncRNA from 1 species
CGUGCAGACUAAGACUUUAGAGGUCUACGAUUUUUGAGUCAUGACACCUACAGGUGAACGCCAGCUUGUAGACGGCAGUCGCUCAUGGGGGAAACCCCCAAGACCGCGCUGCCUCCACUGUCGAACUCAGUUAAGCAAUCAGUAAACAGGUUUAUAGCUGUAGUGCUGAGUUCCUAAAAAGCUCUGAAAUCAUUGUCGAGGCAAACAUUACUUAGUGAUAA